rnacentral:rRNA from 1 species
CCUACGGGUGGCAGCAGUGGGGAAUAUUGGACAAUGGGCGAAAGCCUGAUCCAGCCAUGCCGCGUGUGUGAAGAAGGCCUUCGGGUUGUAAAGCACUUUCAGUGGGGAAGAAAGCCUUGGGGCUAAUACCCUCGAGGAAGGACAUCACCCACAGAAGAAGCACCGGCUAACUCCGUGCCAGCAGCCGCGGUAAUACGGAGGGUGCGAGCGUUAAUCGGAAUUACUGGGCGUAAAGCGCGCGUAGGCGGUCUGAUAAGCCGGUUGUGAAAGCCCCGGGCUCAACCUGGGAACGGCAUCCGGAACUGUCAGGCUAGAGUGCAGGAGAGGAAGGUAGAAUUCCCGGUGUAGCGGUGAAAUGCGUAGAGAUCGGGAGGAAUACCAGUGGCGAAGGCGGCCUUCUGGACUGACACUGACGCUGAGGUGCGAAAGCGUGGGUAGCAAACAGGAUUAGAUACUCCAGUAGUC